UGAAACAACGCACUAAAGUACAUAAAAGCAGAGACUACACCUCGUACCUUUUGCAUCAUGAUCUAGCCAGUAACCCCAAGCAAAGAGACCUCUAGUUUGAACCCCCGAAACCGGACGAGCUACUCCGGGGCAGCCUAUUAUAGGGCCAACCCGUCUCUGUGGCAAAAGAGUGGGAAGACCCCCGAGUAGAGGUGAAAGACCUACCGAGUCAGGUUAUAGCUGGUUGCCCAAGAAAUGAAUAGAAGUUCAGCCCCGCCGCGCCCUCGCCCACAACAGUUUUACUUAAACAAGGCACAAAGGACACCCGCGGGAGUUAGUCAAGGGAGGUACAGCUCCCUUAACAAAGGACACAACCUUAAACAGGAGGCUAAGGAAUAAAUUAAACUAAGGCCAUAGGUUUCAGUGGGCCUAAAAGCAGCCAUCUGAACAGAAAGCGUUAAAGCUCAGACCAACCCAAGCCUAUUAUAACAUUAAAACCUCCAAAGCCCCUAAUAUUACUGGGCCAUCCUAUGCCCUCAUAGGAGUGACCAUGCUAGAACGAGUAAUAAGAAGAAAGACCUUCUCCCAGCACAUGUGUAAGUCGAAUCGGACACUCCAUCGACAAUUAACGAACCCAAUAAAAGAGGGAAAUGCACCGUCGCCACCCCAGGCCAAGAAGACCAUGCAGUAGAAUAUCGUUACCCCCACACAGGUGUGCUCAACCCAAGGGAAAGACUUAAAGGAUAAAAAGGAACUCGGCAAACCAAAACCUCGCCUGUUUACCAAAAACAUCGCUCCUGCCACCACUCAUUAUAGGAGGUCCCGCCUGCCCUGUGACCAAAAGUUUAACGGCCGCGGUAUUUUAACCGUGCAAAGGUAGCGCAAUCAAUUGUCUUUUAAAUGGAGACCUGUAUGAAUGGCAUAACGAGGGUUUAACUGUCUCUUUUUCCUAGUCAAUGAAACUGAUCUGCCCGUGCAGAAGCGGGUAUACACACACAAGACGAGAAGACCCUAUGGAGCUUUAGACGCCGACCAGCUACGAAAAGCGACCACUGACUGGAUCCUCAAACAACGUAAUUAUGGCACAAACGUCUUCGGUUGGGGCGACCACGGGAGAUAACAAAGCUCCCGAGUGGAUAGGGGGAUACCCUAAAACCCAGAGCCACAGCUCUAAGUCACAAAAUAUUUGACCAAUAAUGAUCCGGCUUUAUGCCGACCAACGGACCAAGUUACCCUAGGGAUAACAGCGCAAUCCCCUCCCAGAGUCCAUAUCGACGAGGGGGUUUACGACCUCGAUGUUGGAUCAGGACAUCCUAAUGGUGCAGCCGCUAUUAA
rnacentral:rRNA from 1 species